rnacentral:rRNA from 1 species
GUGGGGAAUAUUGGACAAUGGGCGAAAGCCUGAUCCAGCCAUGCCGCGUGUGUGAAGAAGGUCUUCGGAUUGUAAAGCACUUUAAGUUGGGAGGAAGGGCAGUAAGUUAAUACCUUGCUGUUUUGACGUUACCGACAGAAUAAGCACCGGCUAACUUCGUGCCAGCAGCCGCGGUAAUACGAAGGGUGCAAGCGUUAAUCGGAAUUACUGGGCGUAAAGCGCGCAGAGGUGGUUUUGUAAGUUGGAGGUGAAAUCCCCGGGCUCAACCUGGGAACUGCCUCCCAAACUGCAUGACUAGAGUACGGUAGAGGGUAGUGGAAUUUCCUGUGUAGCGGUGAAAUGCGUAGAUAUAGGAAGGAACACCAGUGGCGAAGGCGACUACCUGGACUGAUACUGACACUGAGGUGCGAAAGCGUGGGGAGCAAACAGGAUUAGAUACCCGAGUAGUCC